rnacentral:rRNA from 1 species
UACGUAGGGUGCAAGCGUUGUCCGGAAUUAUUGGGCGUAAAGAGCUUGUAGGCGGUUUGUCGCGUCUGCUGUGAAAUUUCGGGGCUCAACCCCGAACUUGCAGUGGGUACGGGCAGACUAGAGUGUGGUAGGGGAGACUGGAAUUCCUGGUGUAGCGGUGAAAUGCGUAGAUAUCUGGAGGAACACCGGUGGCGAAGGCGGCAUCCUGGACCGAGAUUGACGCUGAGGCGCGAAAGCCAGGGGAGCAAACGGG